rnacentral:rRNA from 1 species
CCUACGGGGGGCAGCAGUGGGGGAUAUUGCACAAUGGGGGAAACCCUGAUGCAGCGACGCCGCGUGUGGGAAGACGGUCUUCUGGAUUGUAAACCACUGUCCCCGGGGACGAAAAUGCCGGUACCUCGGGAUGACGCUCCGGCUAACUACGUGCCAGCAGCCGCGGUAAUAAGUAGGGAGCAAGCGGUGUCCGGAAUUCCUGGGUGUAAAGGGAGCGUAGGCGGGGAUGCAAGUUGGAGGUCAACACUACCGGCUCAACCGAUAGUCGCACUCAAAACUGCAGCUCUUGAGUGAAGUAGAGGCAGGCGGAAUUCCUAGUGUAGCGGUGAAAUGCGUAGAUAUUAGGAGGAACACCAGUGGCGAAGGCGGCCUGCUGGGCUUUGACUGACGCUGAGGCUCGAAAGUGUGGGGAGCAAACAGGAUUAGAUACCCGGGUAGUC